AGUGAACGCUGGCGGUAGGCCUAACACAUGCAAGUCGAACGGCAGCACAGUAAGGGCUUGCUCUUACGGGUGGCGAGUGGCGGACGGGUGAGGAAUACAUCGGAAUCUACUUUUUCGUGGGGGAUAACGUAGAGAAACUUACGCUAAUACCGCAUACGACCUACGGGUGAAAGCAGGGGAUCUUCGGACCUUGCGCGAUUGAAUGAGCCGAUGUCGGAUUAGCUAGUUGGCGGGGUAAAGGCCCACCAAGGCGACGAUCCGUAGCUGGUCUGAGAGGAUGAUCAGCCACACUGGAACUGAGACACGGUCCAGACUCCUACGGGAGGCAGCAGUGGGGAAUAUUGGACAAUGGGCGCAAGCCUGAUCCAGCCAUACCGCGUGGGUGAAGAAGGCCUUCGGGUUGUAAAGCCCUUUUGUUGGGAAAGAAAAGCAGCAGGUUAAUACCCCGCUGUUCUGACGGUACCCAAAGAAUAAGCACCGGCUAACUUCGUG
rnacentral:rRNA from 1 species